GUGGGGGAUGGGAAAGGACGAGUUAUCCGGCCUUUUUUUUAACCACCAAUGAAAUAAAUUUUAAAAUGGUUUAUUCAAACAGGAUAUUUCACCUGAACAUCUAAUAAUGUUCCUUUCUUGUAUGUAUGUUGAUAUUAUAUUUUUCCGCAUGAUCUCAUAUUAAUCUAUUGUCACAAAGUCUUCCAUGAACCAGUCUAAUUGUAGGAAGCUCAGUCAGUCCCUGAGGCCCAGUGGAGUCCUUUUUAAUCGUAGGAGCUGCUGAAUUUUAUUUUCUGACUGAGUGUGACCAUUACGAAUUGCUAGGGUUUUCUCUGUGUUGGUGGUGACUUCCUAUAAAUAACAACAAAAUGAUUACUUGGAAAUCCUUAAAUAGAGCUAUGUUGCAAGUCUACAGUUAAAGCCUUUAUUUAUAAAUUUUUGUUUAAAGUGGAUGUGACCAAAAUGCUAAUCUAGAGCAACAUUUAACCUACUGGCUUGGUGAACCCUGCUAUGUAAUCAAUUUCACUCUUAUAAUUGGAGUAACUAUUUUGGCAGAAUGGAGGAGGGUUCACUUGUAGCUUAGGGGUAUCUUUGGUUUUUUUGUUUGUUCCAGUUUUUCUUUUA
rnacentral:lncRNA from 1 species